UUCUUCAGACCAUCGUCGACGAUCGGGU
rnacentral:sRNA from 1 species